UGUAAAGAAAUGUUAAUUCUUAUGCAGGUGACCAACUUACUGCUAUUGCCUUGCUGACAACACAUAGCAACGUAUUUUCACAGACUCACUUAAAUCAUCCACAACACUGUCAAAAUAGGAUACAUCCUAGCCACAGGUGCUAGCCUUCAGUUCGGCCACAACAUCCAGUGAGGACACGAACGCACACACAUUACACACUAACUACCGAGGACAUACAGAUAAGACUCCUACACACAUUGGCAGGGAGAAACAGAAUAGGGAGAGACAACCUUGACUUGCAGAGACAAGCACACACACAUAAUCUCCCUCUUAGCUGAACAUUGUGUGACGGGGAACGGCACGACGAGACUCAGAAGGAUGACGCACGGCUCAACAGGACCAAUCCAAGAAGACAACACCUCAACUGUGACCAACCAGAACUUCCAGACUCAACCUACUUUCUGUACUGUAUAUAACAUGCUUGCACUCUGUUAUCGGGGCUUCUUUCUGAUGGUUCCUUAGGAGCCGAAUGAACGGGCCCGUAUACGCUGUACCAGAUAUCUUUACUCUGAAUAAACUGCCACAUGUUAUACCUUUAUCUCCUCGUCCGAAUCGAUCCUUGACCGACUCGCCUACCUGUGUCUCUCACUUUUAUCAACAGAAUCUUGGUAGCAGAGGAUGGUUUACUAAAGACCCAAAAUCAGGAGAUUGUCGUGAGAGUGCGGAGGCGAAUGGUGAAAGGACGAUUCAAGGAGGACAGGGGACCUUGACCGACUCGCCUACCUGUGUCUCUCACUUUUAUCAACAGAAUCUUGGUAGCAGAGGAUGGUUUACUAAAGACCCAAAAUCAGGAGAUUGUCGUGAGAGUGCGGGGCGAAUUGGUGAAAGGACGAUUCAAGGAGGACAGGGGAAGUGAUUCGGGGGAGGACAUCAAUUCUUCUCAACUCGGGAAACUGAUCUCUGGUCGACCACUAAAAAGCUCUCUCCAAACAGAUACACCGUGCUGCAGAGGGGGAGCUGACUGAUGAACCAGAACGACCAAGGGUAAAAGUUGGUGACUGGGUAAGGAUCAAGAUCCACAAGAGAAAGUGGGCUGAUCCCAGGUGGUCUGGACCGUACGAAGUGAAGGAGGUUACUUCACACUCAGUCCAGGUCAAAGGUAAAUCAGGCGCACCUUGGCACCACCUGACUCAUUGUACACCAGCACCAGCACCUGAUAGAACACUGACUGAAGUCAGAAGCGAUUUGAUCGCAUCUAAUUCGGCUACAAAUUCGGCAGGCCCUGACAACUGAAGAAUGUGGAGGCGACUCCAUUCCUCAGGUGACAGGGAGGGGCACCCGUGGGCUAGACGGAACACAACACCAUGGGGCAGGUUAGGGUGCUCUGCUCCAGUAUUUGUGUUAUUUUUAAUCACCUCAGGGUGCGUGGUGGGAAUCAUGCUUUGGGCUAUAGAACACAUGGUUAGUAAUACUGCUAGAAUAAAUGAUAAGGCCUAUUCCACCACGAACACCACUAAUCCACCUCCCAGCCACGUAGAACACAGCCACAUAAUACACAAGCGGAAUAUUGAGUCUAUAGACCGAAAUUGUACCACCGACUCAGUUAGAAGCACUACUCUAUGCGUUCCGAUUAAUAUUACCACCACCACUGUUACGGUGCCAUGGGGAAUGCUGGAGAGCUCAAGUGCUGGUGACAGGGGCAGGACCUUAUGGCAAACCAAAUACCAUUGGUACAUGACCUUAGGGGCGUGAGUGAAUGGUCUUGGAAUAAUCUCGUUGCUGAAACAGGUCCGGACUGGUCAAGUUACUCUAAGGGUAAGAGCGUCUUAUUAUGGCGAAGUAGGCUUACGUUAAUUAAACUACAAGUGGGGUUGAGACUGGUCAUUCCACCAGGCCAGGUGGAAAGUUGUCAAUCCUUUGUUUUGGCUCCAUGGAUGGACACUAGGGGAGCCCCAUUGUAUAUUUACUAUUUUAAAUGGCUGUUGAAUAUCUGUUUUGUGCGAGCACCCAUACCCUCUUCUGCCACUAAAAAGGAUGUUUUGCCCUAAACCAGUAUAUAAUGCUUAAAACCAGAAUAUACUCAUGUACCCAUAUGUUAUUCAUAGCCUAAGUUACAAGCACACACACUGCAGCAAUUAUGUAACCCGCACUGCAGAGACCUUGAAGGUUGGAGAGCAGAGAGGAGAAGUUUUAGAAGGGGAGCCAGGACAGGCAAAGAUAACAGUUACUGAAUGGAGACAAAAGGGAGAAUUGGACAUGUGGAAAAUGAAAGGGGAGCUCCUACAUGAUAAUGUCAGAACAGAAGGAUAAUAUACUAAUCUUACCUAAGUCAUUAUUUAGAGUAGGUAAGGUUGUUACCUGGGCAGAGCCAGGUAUCAAAAGGGGAUGGGUAAAUUGUGGUCUAGGAUAGGAUGGGGCCUAUUGGAUAAGAAACUAAUAAUUUAAAGAAAUGUAGCUAACAAAUGGGCAUAGAAGUUAAAGAUAUAAUCAGAUAAAACAUAUGAGAAAUUGUUUGUUAACCAACCCUGUAUGCCCAGGAUUUUAUGCAUUACAGGUGAACUACAGGUGAAGUCACUCAAUCCAGUCCCAGAGGCUUGUUGGGGGGACCAUACCAAGGACUCCUGGUGACAGCUAGCUGAAAGAGCUACCCAGAUUCAUAUCGCACGGCGGGAGGGUAAAACACAUUGGCACUGUCGAACAAUAAACAGUGUUCGAGAGGAGAACUGGAAUUAACAGAAUUCCGGGGGCCAUCUCUCGAAUGAAGUAACCCUCCCUGUCCUGUCACCCCUGUUUUUGUUCAUAGAAGUGAAGAUGUGUCUGGCUCUUGCUAAGCGAUGUGUUCUCGGGGAGGGUGGGGCUUCAAAUGGAAGCUGUUCGUCUGAGCUAUCGUGGGUGACAUAUUCCUGAUACAGCAAAUCCUACUUGAGUAUGCGGAGAGUGGUAAUUUGACCCAUGGUUUAGACGAUGAGGAUUUUGUUCCAAAAUAAGCAUAAGAUAUCCCUAGAUCUGGGUAGACAGGAAGUUAGAGUAGAGAUUACAUGAUAACCGACUUCGGACAGUUCUAGGAUUGGAGAAGAGGGUAUCCUUAUAGCAUAGGGGAUCCCACAAAGGUGGAUAGGUUUUCCAUGAUAUGGGGAAAACCUGGGAGCACUGUUGAACUCUGUAAAGGUGAUGAAAUCCUACUAACCAUCAAAACUAUUAAGUUCUCUGAUGCAGGCACUUACACCCUCGGACUACAAAGGACGAGGACAGACACGAUGGGUGUGUUUUCUAUUAAGGUGCUGCCAAAACCAGAGGUCCCAGACGAACCAGAGCCAGACACACUCCUCUACCACCCCUGGACCGAACCUGCCACCACUGUGUUAAAAAUACCAUUCAGUAUAUCUAAGGUAUCUGCUGAGAUGAGGACCAUGGCGGGGGUGGAGGAGUCUGGACUGUUCUCUUGGUUGGGAGCCUGGUUUGGUAAGUACACUGGUAUGGUGGUUGCUGGAUUUCUGACCCUAAUUAUUGUAUUUUUGUUUUUGAUGUGUUGUGCUGCUUGCAUCAUACCGUAUUUUAAGAAGUCUGUUACAGAUGUGGUGAAGGCUUCAGGCAUGAUGCCUUUGCUUGAUGCUCCAGUUGGAGAUGCUGAUACUGAAGCAUGCUUUCAGGGGAGGAUGAGACUGACUGAGGAUGACUCAUGUAUGUUUGUUCUCCCUGUUGUGAAGGUUUGGAGUCCCUGGGUGGCAUGGUGCCCACCUGGUGCAGGAUAGGAGUAGCUGGGAGGACCAGAUGGUUUAUAAUAAUGCUUUGCUCUGCUUUACUCUGUUUCCCAGGACCAAAGUUUUAUCCUACAUCUUUACAUGUCAAUAAACAAUAAAGUCUUAUCCUGUUUUUGUCAAAAGGGGAAAAGGGGGAUUGUUGGAUCCUGUAUUUUACAUUAUAGCCAUUACCAUAUAUAUGAUUGAAUAUUAUCUGCUGUUGCCUUGUGUGGAUGUAUGUGUUGUGCAACAUAGCUGACUUGAAACAUUGUUAAAAGUUUCAAGGCCAUGGGCCUUUCUCAUGAUGGAAAAGUAGCAUGAAGACAGGAACUGUUCAAUGAGUUGGGAGGGGGGCACAUUCAGAGCGGGGUGUUGCGAGAACAAGCGGUCUUUUGUUAGAUAACAGGAGCCAGGUGCGAGAUAACGGUAUGGAGCAUGAGAGCCUGGAUGUUCUUCACAAGCAAGUUAUCACAUCUCUUUGGAGAUGUGAAGAGAGGGAAUCACAACUUUUUCCUGCUGGAAAAAGUUUGCUUAUGUGGACAAACAUUUUACUUUUAUUUUGAGCUGUUAUUCUCCGCUCUGUUAAAAUGAGGGUUUUGAGUUCCUAGGUGGCUGGUAGCCAACUUAGUACAUAGUGGGAUUGAAUGGAGGACAUGUAGGUAUUUUAAACCUUGUGACUGUUAUAUGAUUCAUUGCUGAUUUUGUGUUCACACCCUUGGGGUUAUUUGACAUUGUAGCCAUACCAUAUAUAUGAUUAACACAAACUUUUCCUUCUGGGAAAACUUUUCUUUUUGUGUCUGGAUCCAGUUUAGGUUGUGUCACGUCUCUGGGGAGACGUGAAGAGAGGGAUUUGUAAAGAAAUGUUAAUUCUUAUGCAGGUGACCAACUUACUGCUAUUGCCUUGCUGACAACACAUAGCAACGUAUUUUCACAGACUCACUUAAAUCAUCCACAACACUGUCAAAAUAGGAUACAUCCUAGCCACAGGUGCUAGCCUUCAGUUCGGCCACAACAUCCAGUGAGGACACGAACGCACACACAUUACACACUAACUACCGAGGACAUACAGAUAAGACUCCUACACACAUUGGCAGGGAGAAACAGAAUAGGGAGAGACAACCUUGACUUGCAGAGACAAGCACACACACAUAAUCUCCCUCUUAGCUGAACAUUGUGUGACGGGGAACGGCACGACGAGACUCAGAAGGAUGACGCACGGCUCAACAGGACCAAUCCAAGAAGACAACACCUCAACUGUGACCAACCAGAACUUCCAGACUCAACCUACUUUCUGUACUGUAUAUAACAUGCUUGCACUCUGUUAUCGGGGCUUCUUUCUGAUGGUUCCUUAGGAGCCGAAUGAACGGGCCCGUAUACGCUGUACCAGAUAUCUUUACUCUGAAUAAACUGCCACAUGUUAUACCUUUA